rnacentral:rRNA from 1 species
GCGUGCCUAAUGAAUGCGAGUCGCACGGGAUGCGUAGCCUCUUCACUUCGGUGAAUGCUACGUAAUCUAGUGGCAAACGGGUGAGUAACACGUGGGUAACGUACCUUCAGGACGAGGACAACAGGGCGAAAGCCCUGCUAAUACUCGACGGGCUGCCCCUGCAUUAGUAGGGACCAGUAAAGCUACGGCGCCUGAAGAUCGGCCCGCGGUCCAUUAGCUAGUUGGUGAGGUAACGGCUCACCAAGGCGACAAUGGGUAGCUGGUCUGAGAGGACGAUCAGCCACACUGGAACUGAGAUAUGGUCCAGACUCCUACGGGAGUUAGCAUCCGGGAAUCUUGCACAAUGGGCGCAAGCCUGAUGCAGCGACGCCGCGUGGGCGAUGAAGGUCUGCGGAUCGUAAAGCCCUGUCUGGAGGGAAGACACCCGACUGUACCUCCAGAGGAAGCCCCGGCUAACUACGUGCCAGCAGCCGCGGUAAAACGUAGGGGGCUAGCGUUGUCCGGAAUUACUGGGCGUAAAGGGCACGCAGGCGGUCUGGAAAGCGGUGAGUGCAAUCUCGAGGCUCAACCUCGAAACUGCUUGCCGAACUAUCAGACUAGAGCAUGGGAGAGGACAGUGGAAUUCCCGGUGUAGCGGUGGAAUGCGUAAAUAUCGGGAGGAACACCAGUGGCGAAGGCUGCUGUCUGGAACAUUGCUGACGCUGAGGUGCGAAAGCCAGGGGAGCGAACGGGGUUAGAUACCCCGGUAGUCCUGGCUGUAAACGAUGCUCACUAGGUGUUACCGGCAUUAACCCCGGUAGUGCUGUUCUGCUAACGCGUUAAGUGAGCCGCCUGGGGAGUACGGCCGCAAGGCUGAAACUCAAAGGAAAUGACGGGACCCCGCACAAGCAGCGGAGCGUGUGGUUUAAUUCGAUGCUACACGAAGAACCUUACCUGGGUUUGACAUCUAGGUGGUAGUGAAGCGAAAGCGGAGCGACCCUUCGGGGAGCCUAGACAGGUGCUGCAUGGCUGUCGUCAGCUCGUGCCGUGAGGUGUCGGGUUAAGUCCCGUAACGAGCGCAACCCUUGCCCUCCGUUAUACGUGUCAGAGGGGACUGCCGGCGGUAAGCCGGAGGAAGGUGGGGAUGACGUCAAGUCAGCAUGGCCUUUAUAUCCAGGGCUACACACACGCUACAAUGGCCAGUACAAAGGGCAGCGAAGCCGCGAGGUGGAGCGAAUCCCAGCAAAGCUGGUCGUAGUUCGGAUUGCAGGCUGCAACCCGCCUGCAUGAAGCUGGAGUUGCUAGUAACCGCGCGUCAGCCAUAGUGCGGUGAAUACGUUCCCGGGGUUUGUACACACCGCCCGUCACGUCAUGGGAGUCGAUAACGCCUGAAGCCGGUGGCCUAGCUCGGAAGAGAGGGCGCUGUCUAAGGCGGGGUCGGUGACUGGGACGAAGUCGU